UACAGAGGUCUCAAGCGUUGUUCGGAUUCAUUGGGCGUAAAGGGUGCGUAGGCGGCGCGGUAAGUCGGGUGUGAAAUCUCGGAGCUUAACUCCGAAACUGCAUUCGAUACUGCCGUGCUUGAGGACUGGAGGAGGAGACGUGGUAAUUUACGGUGUAGCGGUGAAAUGCGUAGAUAUCGUAAGGAAGACCAGUGGCGAAGGCGGGUCUCUGGACAGUUCCUGACGCUGAGGCACGAAGGUCAGGGGAGCAAACGGGAUUAGAACGUACCGUGU
rnacentral:rRNA from 1 species